rnacentral:rRNA from 1 species
UACGGAGGGUGCGAGCGUUGUCCGGAAUCAUUGGGCGUAAAGGGCGCGUAGGUGGCCCGGUCAGUUCGUGGUGAAAGCGCGGGGCUCAACCCUGCGUCGGCCAUGAAUACUGCCGCGGCUGGAGCACUGUAGAGGCAGGCGGAAUUCCGGGUGUAGCGGUGGAAUGCGUAGAGAUCCGGAAGAAGACCGGUGGCGAAGGCGGUCUGACUGGGCAGUUUCUGGACACUUGAGGCGCGACAGCGUGGGGAGCAAACAGGG